UGUUGCGUUCUCGGAGCUUGAGA
rnacentral:piRNA from 1 species